UGGGGAAUAUUGCACAAUGGGCGCAAGCCUGAUGCAGCCAUGCCGCGUGUAUGAAGAAGGCCUUCGGGUUGUAAAGUACUUUCAGCGGGGAGGAAGGGGAUGUGGUUAAUAACCGCAUUCAUUGACGUUACCCGCAGAAGAAGCACCGGCUAACUCCGUGCCAGCAGCCGCGGUAAUACGGAGGGUGCAAGCGUUAAUCGGAAUUACUGGGCGUAAAGCGCACGCAGGCGGUCUGUCAAGUCGGAUGUGAAAUCCCCGGGCUCAACCUGGGAACUGCAUUCGAAACUGGCAGGCUUGAGUCUCGUAGAGGGGGGUAGAAUUCCAGGUGUAGCGGUGAAAUGCGUAGAGAUCUGGAGGAAUACCGGUGGCGAAGGCGGCCCCCUGGACGAAGACUGACGCUCAGGUGCGAAAGCGUGGGGAGCAAACA
rnacentral:rRNA from 1 species